rnacentral:misc_RNA from 1 species
GAUGAAGAACGUAGCGAAAUGCGAUAAGUAAUGUGAAUUGCAGAAUUCAGUGAAUCAUCGAAUCUUUGAACGCACAUUGCGCCCCCUGGUAUUCCGGGGGGCAUGCCUGUCCGAGCGUCAUUACAACCCUCAAGCUCAGCUUGGUGUUGGGCCCCGCCGCCCCGGCGGGCCCUAAAGUCAGUGGCGGUGCCGUCCGGCUCCGAGCGUAGUAAUUCUUCUCGCUCUGGAGGUCCGGUCGUGUGCUCGCCAGCGACCCCCAAUUUUUUUCAGGUUGACCUCGGAUCAGGUAGGGAUACCCGCUGAACUUAAGCAUAUCAAUAAGCGGAGGA